GGUAAAAUGGAGGCACGAAAUGCUUACAAAGCUAUAAUGUGACAGUUUAACCGUAACUGUUUCUUUCUCUAAACCUGUGCUAAACCUGUUUUUACAGUAUACAUUAAGGAAUAUACUGGAAAAUCCUAAACUAUUGCAGAAUGCAUCUUUGUUAUUGCUGUAGUAAUAAUAGACAUUCCCUGAACACAUCUUUUGUACUAAAGUUCUAAGUUUUUACAAGUAUUAAUGAACAACCUAACUAAAAUAUAAAAAUCAUUAUCUUCCUAAACAAGGAAUCUGGGCACAGAGUUAAGUACUUGGCCUCAGAUUAAGAAGUUGCAACUGGAAGCAGGAGUCCGAAGGAGGCAGACCAUCCCAGAGCCUUCCUGUGUAAUCCCUCCAGAGCCUCAGCUUUUCACGUCGCAGUGUGAAAAACUAAAGCCCAGGGAACCCUUCGGGCAGAAGCUGCAAAGGAUCCCAAGUGAUGGGUGAAGAAGACAGAUGUUUAUCUUCUGAGAUCACCUUAUUCAACAGAGCAUCAAAUCUUAAGAUCCCUAAGAUUAUUCAGGAACGAUUGCAGCAUCAAGUCCUUCCUCUGGAUCGAAGAUAGCAGGGAUUGCUCUGUGAAUUCUUAAAUAUCGAAAGACCUGAACUUGAGGAGAGACCACAUUCGUCCUUGAUAAACUGAAAGGAGCCUAGGACCACUACACUCUUCCAGCCAAGCAUUUUAAUCAGCACAUGGUGCUGACGGGGCACACAUCAUGAAGCUCACUGGAGCUUUGUUUGGAAAGAUUAUGUAAGCUUUAGAAUGUCCGUCCUAAAGUUCACUGUUCCGAGCAAGAUCAGAAGGAAAUCCUGAACUCUACACCAAAGAAAUUUCUCAGAAGGAUGAGAGGGAUUAAUCUUGUUCCUUGGAUUCCCAUAAUUGUUACAUAGAAUUGCCAACUUUGAUAUAUUCUUCUAAAAAGACCCUGCUUUAUUAUUUUUGUUUGCUUUCUCUUAAGCUUUUGCUAAACAAUUUGGAUAAUAAUUAUAUGUUUCUUGAAGCCAAGUGAAGGUGACAGAUGGGUAAUUUAACAUGCUCAAAUAGAAGUUUAGCACUGACUGGGAUCUGCUGCUAAGGUACCUACAAAUUGUAGAAGUUCAAUUACACUGCUGUCCCAUGUUCCUCAUUUACACUCUGACUCUUUCAGUACUGACCACUAGAACAUCAUCCACAUGCCUUACCAGCCUUCUUUUUCCUUUCUCUUUUACACAAGUAUUGUUCUAGAACAGGUCGUAUUUCAU